rnacentral:rRNA from 1 species
UACGUAGGGACCAAGCGUUGUUCGGAUUUACUGGGCGUAAAGGGCGCGUAGGCGGCAAUUCAAGUCAGUUGUGAAAUCUCCGAGCUUAACUCGGAACGGUCAACUGAUACUGUUUUGCUAGAGUACAGAAGGGGCAAUCGGAAUUCUUGGUGUAGCGGUGAAAUGCGUAGAUAUCAGGAGGAACACCGGUGGUGUAGACGGCUUUCUGGACCGUAACUGACGCUGAGACACGAAAGCGUGGGUAGCAAACAGG